AUUUCUGUAGCAUAGUGGUUAAGGAGAAGGACUCGUAACCAAAAGGUUGCUGGUUCGAUCCCCGCUGGGAUGC
rnacentral:tRNA from 1 species